GAUGAACGCUGGCGGCGUGCUUAACACAUGCAAGUCGAACGAAGCACCUUGAUUCGAUUCUUCGGAUGAAGAUCUUGGUGACUGAGUGGCGGACGGGUGAGUAACGCGUGGGUAACCUGCCUCAUACAGGGGGAUAACAGUUAGAAAUGACUGCUAAUACCGCAUAAGACCACAGCACCGCAUGGUGCAGGGGUAAAAACUCCGGUGGUAUGAGAUGGACCCGCGUCUGAUUAGGUAGUUGGUGGGGUAACGGCCUACCAAGCCGACGAUCAGUAGCCGACCAGAGAGGGGGGGGGGCGAGAAGGGGAGUGCGAUGCGGCCUGAACGCCUACGGGAAGCAGCGGGGCGGAGUAAGCGACAAUGUAGGAAAGGCUGAAAAGGCGACGCAGCGGGAAAGAUGAAGUCUUUCGGUAAGUAAAGCGCGCUCGGAAGGGAAGAGAAUGACGGGGCCUGACUAAGAAGAACCGGCUACGUACGUC
rnacentral:rRNA from 1 species